rnacentral:lncRNA from 1 species
GCGGGCGGCUGUGAGCGGGGGCUGGUUCCUAGUCCCCGGGAGAAGCCAAGAAGGGGAUCCUUGCAACAUGAUACCACUUGAGUCUGUGAGACCUCUUUCAAAGGAUGUCUGGGACAGGGUGCCUGGCCCUYAGACUGUUCAUCACCUACCUGACACAGGAAGCUCACCUGUGCUUGCUGGCAAUGAGGAACUCUACAGUCACUUUUCCUCUUUGGGGUGAUUGA